UACGUAGGGUGCGAGCGUUUGUCCGGAAUUAUUGGGCGUAAAGGGCUCGUAGGCGGUCUGUUGCGUCGGGAGUGAAAACUCAGGGCUUAACCCUGAGCCUGCUUCCGAUACGGGCAGACUAGAGGUAUGCAGGGGAGAACGGAAUUCCUGGUGUAGCGGUGAAAUGCGCAGAUAUCAGGAGGAACACCGGUGGCGAAGGCGGUUCUCUGGGCAUUACCUGACGCUGAGGAGCGAAAGCUAGGGGAGCAAACAGG
rnacentral:rRNA from 1 species